AUUGAACGCUGGCGGCAGGCCUAACACAUGCAAGUCGAACGAGUGGCGGCCGGGAGAGUAAUGUCUGGGACACUGCCCGAUGGAGGGGGAUAACUCCUGGAAACGGUAGUUAAUACCGAAUACCAUCGGCUGAGCCCAGAUGGGAUGAGCUAGUAGGUGGGGUAACGGCUCACCUAGGCGACGAUCCCUAGCGGGUCUGAGAGGAUGACCAGCCACACUGGAACUGAGACACGGUCCAGACUCCUACGGGAGGCAGCAGUGGGGAAUAUUGCGCAAUGGGGGAAAGCCUGACGCAGCCAUGCCGCGUGAAUGAAGAAGGCCUUCGGGUUGUAAAGUUCUUUCGGUAGCGAAGCGUUAACUACAGAAGAAGCACCGGCUAACUCCGUGCCAGCAGCCGCGGUAAUAC
rnacentral:rRNA from 1 species